GACGUAGGGCGCGAGCGUUGUCCGGAGUUAUUGGGCGUAAAGAGCUCGUAGGCGGCUCGUUGCGUCGGCUGUGAAAACCCGCGGCUCAACCGUGGGCUUGCAGCUGAUACGGGCGGGCUGGAGUUCGGUAGGGGAGACUGGAAUUCCUGGUGUAGCGGUGAAAUGCGCAGAUAUCAGGAGGAACACUGGUGGCGAAGGCGGGUCUCUGGGCCGAUACUGACGCUGAGGAGCGAAAGCGUGGGGAGCGAACAGG
rnacentral:rRNA from 1 species